AACGAACGCUGGCGGCAUGCCUAACACAUGCAAGUCGAACGGGAUCCUAGCUUGCUAGGUGAGAGUGGCGGACGGGUGAGUAACACGUGGGAAUCUGCCUUUUGGUUCGGGAUAACCGCGGGAAACUGCGGCUAAUACCGAAUGCCCUCGAGAGAGGAAAGAUUUAUCGCCAGAAGAGGAGCCCGCGUCCGAUUAGGUAGUUGGUGGGGUAAAGGCCUACCAAGCCGACGAUCGGUAGCUGGUCUGAGAGGAUGAUCAGCCACACUGGGACUGAGAUACGGCCCAGACUCCUACGGGAGGCAGCAGUGGGGAAUAUUGGACAAUGGGGGCGAACCCUGAUCCAGCAAUGCCGCGUGAGUGAUGAAGGCCUUAGGG
rnacentral:rRNA from 1 species